AAGUAGUAACCGAAUGGGUAAUAUUAUAAGUAGCGUUUCUCAGAAACAUAAUGGAACAAAGGAUACGACGAAUAGACUGAACGAAAAAUUAAAAUGUGUUUUAUUCAAUAAAAAUAGCAAUAAAAUGUUAAUUCGAAAUGUAAUUUUUUUAUUACUACAUUCAGAUAUAGGACUUACAAAAAGAGUAUUUAAAUAUUUAUAUGUUUAUGAUGAUAUUAAUAAAAUUCAUAUGAGUGGUUUAAUUGAUUUUACAAUUUAUAAAACAUAUUGUCAAACAAUAAUAGAUAUGCUAGAAGAUAAAUAUAAUGACAAUUAUAGUAAAGUAGCUGAAGUGUUAUAUAUAUUAUUAAAAAAUGAUGAUUAUAUGAUUAUAAACAAGUAUAUAAUGGAACGUAUAUUUUUACACUUACUAAAAUUUUGUUAUAGAAAUAGAAAAGAUAAUUCAAUUAAAUUUUUUUUACGUAAUUUAUUAAGUCACAAACUGAUUAGUUAUGAUAAUAUAAAAAAUAUAUUUUUAUUUACUUUUAUUUAUUUAAAAAAAAAUACUUAUUUAUUUAAACAUAAUAUUUAUAUAUAUAUACAAAAUUUUAUGAGUUUAAUUAACAUAUUCAUUUUUUUUAUUGAUUUUAUGAAAAAAAUAAAUAGAAAUAUUUAUAUAUAUUUUUUAUUUCUGUUUACUACUUCUCUUUUAAAAUUAGUUUCUUUUUUAAACAUAAAUUUGAUUAUCAUUAUUAUUAAUAAAUAUGGACAUAUUAAAAAUUUUAGUGGAAAGUAUUUUGUUCACCCUAAUAAUAUAGUAUCCAAUAGACAUAGUGCCAUUUACUACUUUUAUUUUUACAUUAUAUAUUACACCAAUUAUUGUUUAAAUAAGUGUUUUAAUAAUAUCAUGCAAGAUCCUUCACUGCAGCGUGUAUUUAAAUCGUCGGAGUGGAAGGUUAAGAGUAGUUCGGUUAGCUUGCGUGGGCAGUACGAGCAGUACGAGCAGAGUGGCCAGAGUGUCCAGAGUGGCCAGAGUGGCCAGAACGAGAAGUACGAGCAGAGUGUCCAGAGUGGCCAGAACGAGAAGUACGAGCAGAAAGACGAACACGAGCAAGAUAUACAAACCGUAGGGCACAACCUGCAUGAAAAUAAACGCAGUUAUAUGUAUAGCUACACAACUGAAAACAAAAAUAGUAACAAGUUAGUAGAAAAAAAAGAAAGCAACUCAGCUCGAGGGAAGCAAGAAGAGAGUAGUCUACCUUAUAUUUUAUUAAAAUAUAAAAUAAAGUUAAAAAACAAUUUAUUAGAUGCUAUUACUACUCAUAAAGAUGUAUAUUUAUUUACUCAUAAUAAUGAGCAUAUCAUACUUUUAUUUUAUAAUUACCAUAUGUUAGUUGA
rnacentral:lncRNA from 1 species